CCUACGGGAGGCUGCAGUAAGGAAUCUUCCACAAUGGACGAUAGUCUGAUGGAGCAACGCCGCGUGAGUGAUGAAUGCUUUCUGCUCGUUAAGCUCCGUUUAUAUUGGAGUAAAAUAGAGUUAGUAUAUUGCCUUUCUUUUACCGUAUUUACUAGGAAAGUCUCGGCUAAGUACGUGCCAGCAGCCGCGGUAGUACGUAGGUGGCAAGCCCUGACCGGAUUUAUUGGGCGUAAAGCGAGGGCAGUCGGUUAAAUAAUUCUGAUGUGAAAGCCUUCGGCCCAACCGGAGAAUUGCAUCAUAAACUGGUGAACGUGAGUGCAGAAGAGGAGAGUGGAACUCCAUGUGUAGCGGUGGAAUGCGUAGAUAUAUGGAAGAACACCAGUGGCGAAGGCGGCUCUCUGGUCUGCAACUGACGCUGAGGCUCGAAAGCAUGGGUAGCGAACAGGAUUAGAUACCCCUGGAGUC
rnacentral:rRNA from 1 species